UACAGAGGUGGCAGGCGUUGUUCGGAAUUACUGGGCGUAAAGGGCGCGUAGGCGGUCUUUUAAGUCUUGUGUGAAAUCCCUCGGCUCAACUGAGGAACUGCACGGGAUACUGGAAGACUUGAGUUCGGGAGAGGGAAGCGGAAUUCCGGGUGUAGCGGUGAAAUGCGUAGAUAUCCGGAGGAACACCGGUGGCGAAGGCGGCUUCCUGGACCGAUUAUUGACGCUGAGGCGCGAAAGCUAGGGGAGCAAACGGG
rnacentral:rRNA from 1 species